GAACCGUUAUAACCGGCGAUACCCGAAUGGGGAAACCCAGUGUGAUUCGUCACACUAUCAUUAACUGAAUCCAUAGGUUAAUGAGGCGAACCGGGGGAACUGAAACAUCUAAGUACCCCGAGGAAAAGAAAUCAACCGAGAUUCCCCCAGUAGCGGCGAGCGAACGGGGAGGAGCCCAGAGCCUGAAUCAGCAUGUGUGUUAGUGGAAGCGUCUGGAAAGGCGCGCGAUACAGGGUGACAGCCCCGUACACAAAAGCGCAUGUGCUGUGAGCUCGAUGAGUAGGGCGGGACACGUGGUAUCCUGUCUGAAUAUGGGGGGACCAUCCUCCAAGGCUAAAUACUCCUGACUGACCGAUAGUGAACCAGUACCGUGAGGGAAAGGCGAAAAGAACCCCGGCGAGGGGAGUGAAAAAGAACCUGAAACCGUGUACGUACAAGCAGUGGGAGCACCCUUUGGGUGUGACUGCGUACCUUUUGUAUAAUGGGUCAGCGACUUAUAUUCUGUAGCAAGGUUAACCGAAUAGGGGAGCCGGAGGGAAACCGAGUCUUAAUUGGGCGUUAAGUUGCAGGGUAUAGACCCGAAACCCGGUGAUCUAGCCAUGGGCAGGUUGAAGGUUGGGUAACACUAACUGGAGGACCGAACCGACUAAUGUUGAAAAAUUAGCGGAUGACCUGUGGCUGGGGGUGAAAGGCCAAUCAAACCGGGAGAUAGCUGGUUCUCCCCGAAAGCUAUUUAGGUAGCGCCUCGUGAAUUCAUCUCCGGGGGUAGAGCACUGUUUCGGCUAGGGGGCCAUCCCGGCUUACCAACCCGAUGCAAACUGCGAAUACCGGAGAAUGUUAUCACGGGAGACACACGGCGGGUGCUAACGUCCGUCGUGAAGAGGGAAACAACCCAGACCGCCAGCUAAGGUCCCAAAGUCAUGGUUAAGUGGGAAACGAUGUGGGAAGGCCCAGACAGCCAGGAUGUUGGCUUAGAAGCAGCCAUCAUUUAAAGAAAGCGUAAUAGCUCACUGGUCGAGUCGGCCUGCGCGGAAGAUGUAACGGGGCUAAACCAUGCACCGAAGCUGCGGCAGCGACACUGUGUGUUGUUGGGUAGGGGAGCGUUCUGUAAGCCUGUGAAGGUGUGUCGUGAGGCAUGCUGGAGGUAUCAGAAGUGCGAAUGCUGACAUAAGUAACGAUAAAGCGGGUGAAAAGCCCGCUCGCCGGAAGACCAAGGGUUCCUGUCCAACGUUAAUCGGGGCAGGGUGAGUCGACCCCUAAGGCGAGGCCGAAAGGCGUAGUCGAUGGGAAACGGGUUAAUAUUCCCGUACUUGGUGUUACUGCGAAGGGGGGACGGAGAAGGCUAUGUUGGCCGGGCGACGGUUGUCCCGGUUUAAGCGUGUAGGUGUGUGUUCCAGGUAAAUCCGGUUCACUUUAACACUGAGGCGUGACGACGAGGCACUACGGUGCUGAAGCAACAAAUGCCCUGCUUCCAGGAAAAGCCUCUAAGCAUCAGGUAACAUCAAAUCGUACCCCAAACCGACACAGGUGGUCAGGUAGAGAAUACCAAGGCGCUUGAGAGAACUCGGGUGAAGGAACUAGGCAAAAUGGUGCCGUAACUUCGGGAGAAGGCACGCUGACACGUAGGUGAAGUGAUUUACUCAUGGAGCUGAAGUCAGUCGAAGAUACCAGCUGGCUGCAACUGUUUAUUAAAAACACAGCACUGUGCAAACACGAAAGUGGACGUAUACGGUGUGACGCCUGCCCGGUGCCGGAAGGUUAAUUGAUGGGGUCAGCGCAAGCGAAGCUCCUGAUCGAAGCCCCGGUAAACGGCGGCCGUAACUAUAACGGUCCUAAGGUAGCGAAAUUCCUUGUCGGGUAAGUUCCGACCUGCACGAAUGGCGUAAUGAUGGCCAGGCUGUCUCCACCCGAGACUCAGUGAAAUUGAACUCGCUGUGAAGAUGCAGUGUACCCGCGGCAAGACGGAAAGACCCCGUGAACCUUUACUAUAGCUUGACACUGAACAUUGAGCCUUGAUGUGUAGGAUAGGUGGGAGGCUUUGAAGUGUGGACGCCAGUCUGCAUGGAGCCGACCUUGAAAUACCACCCUUUAAUGUUUGAUGUUCUAACGUGGACCCGUUACCCGGGUUGCGGACAGUGUCUGGUGGGUAGUUUGACUGGGGCGGUCUCCUCCUAAAGAGUAACGGAGGAGCACGAAGGUUGGCUAAUCCUGGUCGGACAUCAGGAGGUUAGUGCAAUGGCAUAAGCCAGCUUGACUGCGAGCGUGACGGCGCGAGCAGGUGCGAAAGCAGGUCAUAGUGAUCCGGUGGUUCUGAAUGGAAGGGCCAUCGCUCAACGGAUAAAAGGUACUCCGGGGAUAACAGGCUGAUACCGCCCAAGAGUUCAUAUCGACGGCGGUGUUUGGCACCUCGAUGUCGGCUCAUCACAUCCUGGGGCUGAAGUAGGUCCCAAGGGUAUGGCUGUUCGCCAUUUAAAGUGGUACGCGAGCUGGGUUUAGAACGUCGUGAGACAGUUCGGUCCCUAUCUGCCGUGGGCGCUGGAGAACUGAGGGGGGCUGCUCCUAGUACGAGAGGACCGGAGUGGACGCAUCACUGGUGUUCGGGUUGUCAUGCCAAUGGCACUGCCCGGUAGCUAAAUGCGGAAGAGAUAAGUGCUGAAAGCAUCUAAGCACGAAACUUGCCCCGA
rnacentral:rRNA from 1 species